ACCGCGAUAGCUCAGCUGGUAGAGCAUCUGCCUGGUAUGCGGAGGGUCGCCGGUUCGAUUCCGGCUAGUGGCG
rnacentral:tRNA from 1 species